AAUUGAAACGCAAAAAGGAAACCUGGUCAUGGAGGACUCGAGAGUAAACUGCCGCAAACUGACAAAAAAGAUAAAUAAAACUCCCGAGAACUCACAAAUUCACAUUGAGUAAUUCACAAAUCCAGCAUUAGAGAAGGAGGGAAGAACAUUGGUCGUUCCUGCUACUUCGAAUGGUUUGAGUAAAUUUUUGUUUUCAAUUCAUGCUUUGACGCUGCCAACAGUUACUAGACUCCCGCACAAACAUAAAUUAUGCAUCUAUAUACAUGCUGAUUGGAUUCUAUCAAGCACUUUUGAAGAAAGCCAUUUCAUGACUCUUGAGAAUCCAACUUUGUUUUGCAGGUUCUCCCUUUUUUUUGACUAAAGAAAACCUCAUGGCCUCUUCCCAUUCGUGCUUCGCCUACUAUGUUCAUGGUUACAUUCUGCAAUCUACUUGCUUAUUCCUUCAGGAACUUCUCAUACAUUAGUGGUCUUUUGUCCUUUUCAUUUGGUAGUCAAUGAAACUUAAUGUUUUUUUUCGUAACUCUUUUUGCUUUCGAAGUUUCCUGCUCGGUUAAAUAUUUGUACUAAAUUCUUCAUGUUGUUAAGAUUGGGUAAAUUUAGGGAUUCAUGAUUGGGUCCGUGGUUGAAGCUCUGGAAAAAUAGCUUAAUCGGAUCUACAGAUGGGAGGAAUACCUUUUUUUAUUUUUUUAUUUUUAUUUUUUUAAGGAAACGGUAGUAGUAUUCAUUUGACAAGUCAGUACAAAAGUUCACUCGGGGCAAAGAACAAUCCAGUAGGAUACUAGGAGGAGACCCUAACCAUUCACAACACUGACUCACAGGUAGACCUAACCAUGCAAGACGAUGAGCCCCCCCGUUGGCUUGACAACGAAUUGGGUAAAUGGAACUUCAAUGACUGACGGAAUAAGCACUUUGAUAUCCUCCACAACGAAUGGGAGGAAUACCUUGCAGCAGCGGGUUUCCACUCCACCUUUUUCAGAGAUCAGAGAUUGGUGUGGUAUGAAAAGGGAUGUGAUAUGUGAGAACUGAAAUUUUACUUACCUCCAUUUUUUCUAUGCUUUUUGAAGAAUGGGUUUGAUAGAAAGGAAUCUAAUUGCUCUGCAAAUA